rnacentral:rRNA from 1 species
GUCCACGCCGUAAACGAUGUCGAUUUGGAGGCUGUGUCCUUGAGACGUGGCUUCCGGAGCUAACGCGUUAAAUCGACCGCCUGGGGAGUACGGCCGCAAGGUUAAAACUCAAAUGAAUUGACGGGGCCCGCACAAGCGGUGGAGCAUGUGGUUUAAUUCGAUGCAACGCGAAGAACCUUACCUGGCCUUGACAUGUCUGGAAUCCUGCAGAGAUGCGGGAGUGCCUUCGGGAAUCAGAACACAGGUGCUGCAUGGCUGUCGU